AUCUGAGUAUAUCAAUACUACCUUGUUCAGAACUUAAAGAGAAAUCUUGAGUUUAUGGACUUCAGGGGGAGUAUGGUCACAAGGCUGAAACUUAAAGGAAUUGACGGAAGGGCACACCAGGAGUGGAGCCUGCGGCUUAAUUUGACUCAACACGGGAAAACUUACCAAGACCGAACAGUAGAAGGAAUGACAGAUUAAGAGUUCUUUCAUGAUUUAUUGGGUAGUGGUGCAUGGCCGUUCUUAGUUGGUGGAGUGAUUUGUCAGGUUAAUUCCGGUAACGAACGAGACUGAAACCUAUUAAUUAGUUUUCUGCCUAUAAGACAGAAAUGUUCGCAAGAACAGGUGCGUAAGUACCACUUCUUAAAGGGACACAUUUCAAUUGUCCUAUUUUAAUUGUUAGUUAUCUAAUUUCG
rnacentral:rRNA from 1 species